AGCCAGGCUGGAGCUAGACAUGGGAAGGCAGCAGAAGAGCCUUCCAGGUGAGAACAGCCGAUCUGAAGGACCGAGGCUAAGAGCACACAGUGGACUCACGGCGUUGAAAGACCUGCGGGGAGCACUAUAGUGGACCACGCUUUUUUUUUAGAUCCCCUAAAGCAAUGCUAUGUAUUUCCCUCACACGUUUUUCAGUUAAUACUGAUAAUUAUUUUUAUCAUGUUUAGUUACAAAAGAACUCAGCACAAACAGCAGAUCAACUUGGCCUUGGAUCUCUGGGAAGAAAAGCUUAUCUUCAAAGAAGUGCUGGCAGUGUGGAGGGCGGACUGGAAGCGGUUUGAAGACAGCGAGAGGCCCAGCUGGGCACCAUGAUGGCUUACACUUCGAUAGUGACCGUGCGUGGAGAGCAAGAAGUGAAUUCCUCAUGUUUGGCCUUUUUGGAGAGAACUUUGGCAGUCUCGACUACAAAUGGACAAAUACCCUCAGAAUCAAUAAAUCUACUUGAAUGUCGUGGUUCAUUAACAUCAGACUGGUUACAUGAAUACACAAGGAUGACUCGUGAAAUGCUAUGCAGCAGUUAAAAAGAAAGAAGUAGAGCCAAAUAUAUUGUCAUAGAAAGAUUUCCAAGACAUUAGGUGGAAAAAGCAAGUUGCUGGAUAA
rnacentral:lncRNA from 1 species